AUGAACGCUGGCGGCGUGCCUAGUACAUGCAAGUCGAGCGAACAGACGAGGAGCUUGCUCCUCUGACGUUAGCGGCGGACGGGUGAGUAACACGUGGAUAACCUACCUAUAAGACUGGGAUAACUUCGGGAAACCGGAGCUAAUACCGGAUAAUAUAUUGAACCGCAUGGUUCAAUAGUGAAAGACGGUUUUGCUGUCACUUAUAGAUGGAUCCGCGCCGCAUUAGCUAGUUGGUAAGGUAACGGCUUACCAAGGCAACGAUGCGUAGCCGACCUGAGAGGGUGAUCGGCCACACUGGAACUGAGACACGGUCCAGACUCCUACGGGAGGCAGCAGUAGGGAAUCUUCCGCAAUGGGCGAAAGCUUGACGGAGCAACGCCGCGUGAGUGAUGAAGGUCUUCGGAUCGUAAAACUCUGUUAUUAGGGAAGAACAAAUGUGUAAGUAACUAUGCACGUCUUGACGGUACCUAAUCAGAAAGCCACGGCUAACUACGUG
rnacentral:rRNA from 1 species